CCCGUCUCACCCGUCCCACUGCCCCGCCGUCUCGCCUGCCCCGCCCCGCCCCGCCCCGCCCCGCCCGUCCCGCUCGCCGUGGCCGUGGCCGAUGACCGCGGCCCCGCCGUCCCGCCCUGCCUGCCGCGACGGCCAUGGACGAGCGCGAGCUCGACGGGGGAGCAACGGGCCGCCCCGCCCGUCCCGCUCGCCGUGGCCUUCGCCGAUGACCGCGGCCCCGCGCAGCACAACACCGAGCUCGUCUCGCUCCGUUGCGUCCUCUCCUCCUGCCGGAUUCGCCACUCACGGCCACCACCGCUCACCCGUGACCCCGCCUUGUGGUUAGGGUUUCGGGUGUUGGCUCCAACACCGGCGGCCAUGGGGUUGCGCCUCCUCUCUGCCUCUGCAGAGGAGAGGAGAGGGGAUUGAGCCUGCAGCUCCACAUGUGCUUCAAUUCAAUUUGGAGUAGAGCAAUUGAUGUGCUCCUACAGCUGCUGUAGAAGAUAGGAUGGAUGAGAGUGCAUCAUUGUAGGAUUAUUGUUGAUGGGGUGUCGAGACGUGUGUCUGAACUACCUCAUGUGACUGAUGAAAGAGGGCAGGUGGCCGACCUCCUUGAUAUCCAUACCAAAUUUCAACCGAGUCGUUGAUGCGGUGAGAGCUCGGUGUCGUGUCCGUCGGCUGAGCAGCAAGCUGAGCUGCAACUCUCUAAACAUGGUGGUGCUACUUUGUGGAUUGUGAUUAAGAAUGAUGACCCUGGUUAAUUAUAGGAUUUACCAUGAGAGCAUGAGAUCUUUGCACCUGUUUUUUGGUGCGUUUGUGCUCGUCGGCGGGACGGUGCAAGGCGCAACUCCGACGCGGUUCCUUGCCGGUUGGACGGCGUUCACGCGCAACCCCGGCGUGCACUGAGUACUGCCUCGGCUACAACCUCCCUCGGCAGGCUGGGUGGGCUCCUCGUUAGCAUCGGCUUUCCCUACCUACCACUCCUCUCUGAUGGAGCGGACCUUUGGAUGCUCCUGCGCCUCCGGUCGUGGGCUAGGUUUUUUGGUGUGUUUGUGCUCGUCGGCGGGACGGUGCAAGGCGCAACUCCGACGCGGUUCCUUGCCGGUUGGACGGCGUUCACGCGCAACCCCGGCGUGCACUGAGUACUGCCUCGGCUACAACCUCCCUUGGUGAGCUCCAUCUUCCUCCUGCUCCUCUGCUUCGGCUACUGUAUGGGACAUGGCCAUGGCUAUAUUGAUCCAUACAUCCAUCUAGAAAUAAGAAUAGAAGCUCCUCAGGCCGCACCACAGCGAUUUGGGAUUCCUGGCCGUCGGAUCGGGUGGCUUGAUCGGAUCUGGGCCGUCGGAUCGACCCCUGUAACGACCUCGUCCGUCGGAUAAAAAAAAGUUACUGCUGGAAUGAAUAGUUACUCCCGUUUCGUGCCAUCGCUUGUAAAUAGCCUGCCCCGCCAGGGGCAUUCUCGCCAUUUCGCUUUGUCUGUGGCGGUGGCGUUCGUGCUAGGGUGAUGAUGAUUAACUGUGGCUGGAAUGAGUGUGCCUUUGAGCAAUCAAGGCACCUAUGGGUAUCAAGUUGGAUCCUCCCUGUUGUCUCUGGAAUCCUUUUUGAUCCUGUGAUACCUAUUGAUCUGUCCUUGGAUGGUCAUUCUUGCUGAGUGAUAACCAGGGCAGCUCCAUUGUAUAAACAGAUUGAUCUGGUGAUAAGAGAUGAUGGGGGUAGGUUAUAUGAUCGAGAAAAGGCGAAUCUGAGCCCACUAUGCAAUGAACCAUAGACCCUUUUUUACUUGUAUAUCUAAAGGUGUUGCUUAUUUAUGCUCCAGUGUUUAUAGCCAUCUUCCAUAAAUCUGAGCCAUUGAGCGGACAUUUCCUUUUGUUUUCUUUGGUUUGUUCUGAAGCUUUCCCCAAUUCUAUCUGUCACCACUGCAUUUUGUGGAUCAUGCACCAGACUAAAUGUAAGUGAACUUUGAAGGAUGCAUGUUUUGUUAGCUUUGUAACUUAUUUCCUUGCUAAGUAAGCAUUUGGGGUUAAUUUGUUUUGUUGCCACCUUCUUUGUACAUAUAGUUUUGCAUCGAUUUGCCUUGCACUCUUCCCGACAAGCUUGUAAUAGUGUUGAACUUUGUUCAUUUAGGCAUAGCAACUAUUUGAAUUAUGAAAAUUUGCUACCAUUUGGUUACCACCAGAAGUUUGUCUAUUGAUAAAACAUGGUUCAGGAAGGCAUUUUGUCUUCUAUGUUUUUUAAUAGAAUUCUGAUUUGGGGCAACGAUGAUUGACCACUGCUAAUAUAAGUACUUUCUUGAGCAAUCAAGCAAUUUGCUGAUAUAAAACAUGGUCCAGGAAGAAGACGAAGAAUACAACUGGUUUCAUAUGUACUUUAUGCUCAUUCCUUUUAAUCUUCAAAUGAUAUAGGAGAUUCUGUUGGUGCUCUAUUAACAUGAUUGUUGUGUGCGUUUCUGUUACGUAAUAAUAUUGUUGACAAGAUAUCUGAAAUUACGAUCGGAAGUUGCUGCCCGCCGGGUUGGUCUGCAAGAGGAUGCCUUGCUCUCUCUCUCUUGCUGCGUAAUUAACAUGAAUUCAGCUAGGCGUUAAUGUGCAGUAAGAGGCAAGGAAAUAGUACUAUAAUGUGCUUAUAGAGAGGACAACACCAAGCAAGAUGAGCUAUAUUGAAAGGUGUAUGUUGAGCUCUAAAGGCAAGCACGGCCCUGACACUGGCAGUCGGACAACUCGAGCGUGGCCUCCACUCUAGCGUGCAGUUCAUCGGAGCCGUCACGCAGAUAGGUGUGCUUGGUCUGCAGUGACGACCUUUGGGCCAACAACACAUGGACAUUUCAGAGAUAAACUAUUGCAUCAGGUAUAGUGUAUUGCGGACAAGCCAGACAUUAGUGUCUAGGUAUUGAUAGUUUGAGAUAGACAUGCCAAUAUGCAUCUUCAUUUAUACAGCAGCCCAUGCGUGUGGUAAUAUUUGAGAACAACAACUCUCAUAUUUUGUUUGCCCUUUUAGGCUAAAACAACAUAGUUUGGUUUGAGGUGCUCUCACAAGAUAUCAGGUCUCUCCCUCUCUCCAGUUGGCUAAUGGUGGUCAUGUGUAUGUUUUGGUAGACGAGAUGUAGAUUCCAGGAGCCUAUCAUAGUAUGUUUGCCUUUUUAUGCUAGAAUAGCAGAGUUUGGUGGCUAGGUUGGAUUGAAAUAUAAUUGCUUGGUAAAACUGAUGUCUAAAAGUAGUGCUUACUUCUUCUGCAAAGAAAAUGUUGUGCCACUUGCUCACCCAUGAGAACCAUCUUUAACUGGGACGGUGUCAAAAGAAAUUAUGUAACUGGGACACAAUAAAAUAAAUUGGUACAACUAUAUGGAUUCCUUGGUAAGCUCAUGAUUCAUCUGGCUAAGCAGUCUUAGUGGACCGCCAAUGUUGUGUUAUUAAGAUGCAGGUUUCAAUAGCCUUCAUGUUUGAGGCUAAAAUAAUGUAGUUAUCUCUGUAGUCUAGGGUAGAUUGAAAUAAUUGUUUAUCCUUGAAGCAAAUCAAGUAAACAACUGCCAGUAGAUGAUGAGGUGCCUUCUGCAAACAAAAAAACUAAGCUCUAAGCGAGUAUUUUUAGGCGACCUAUCUUUUUCAUAGAUUUGUUUAAUCCUUCCUCUGCUCAAUUGAUGUGAACCACAAACCUUGCUCUGCUAAAUUGAUGUGAACCACAAUCCUUGCUCUGCUCAAUUGAUCUUCCCAGCAAAUCAAUGAACAUGUGCCCACAGGGACACAGUCAAAGGUGCGCCUGUCAACUUAAUGGUUUUCAUCCAUAGUGCUUUGCCAUUAUUUUUAUUUUUAUUGUUUUUCUCAUUUGCCACUGUUGCCCAUUCUUUCUGGGACCAGUAUAUACAUCAUGAUUUUAUUUUUAUGUAAUUUUUAUUUAUACUUGAAGCAAGGUAUCUGAAAACCUGAUGGGAAAUGAGGAGGUGCCCUUUGCAAGUAAAAAGACUAAGUUGGAGACCAAGUGCCUUUAGGCAACGCGCCCUUUUGGAUCGUAGCGUAUCAGUUGCCGAUGUGCAGAAAAUGCUGAUUUAGCGGAUGGAUGGCCUUUUCCAUCUGGGAUCGCUUUUGUUGCGACCUGUCGCUUAUAAUAGAGUGAUCUGUUUUGCUGAUCCUGGCCAAGUGGAAUGUACUGUCUGUCAAUGUCCAAAUGCUGCAGUCAGUAGUUAGUGUGACAUGGAUCUUUGACUAAUGUAUCCCAUCAGUUUAGCCGUGUGUUGCUAGCUGAUGUGAAAGUAUGUGUGAUUACCAUACUUAUUAUGAUUAUGGAUGUUGC